UUUUCUUACAAUAGUUGAUGAUUUCUCUAGGGCAACCUGGACACACUUAAUGGGCUCUAAAAGCAAUGCCUUCUCCUUGCUUAAAUCUUUCAUCUGUUUGGUUAAAACUCAGUUUAAUACUGUGGUUCAAACUGUUAGAAGUGACAAUGCUUUAGAAUUGGGGCCUAGCAUUGAGGGUAUAUCUUUAUUUAUUAGCCAGGGGAUUAUUCAUCAAACCUCCUGCCCUCAUUCACCUCAAUAGAAUGGUGUUGUUGAAAGAAAGCACAUAACCCUUCUUAAAACAUGUAGAGCCCUGCUUUUUCAAUCUGGACUACCUGUGUCUUUCUGGGACACAGAACACUUUUUGAAACAUGUAGAGCCCAGCUUUUACAAUCUGGCCUACCUGUGUCUUUCUGGGGGAAUUGCCUGUUGACUGUCACCUAUCUUCUUAACAAAAUACCUUCCAGAAUCCUUCACCAUAAGUCUCCUCAUGAAAUUUUGUAUGGAGAAGCUCCAUCCUAUUAUCAUUUGAGGGCAUUUGGAUGCCUUGCUUAUGUUGCUGUCCCUAUUCCUCAAAGGGAUAAGCUGAAACCUAGAGCCCACUCUUGUGUGUUUCUGGGUUACCCCUUUUCCAAGAAGGGUUAUAAACUGUAUAAUUUGGUUUCCAAGAAGUGUUUUGUCUCAAGGGAUGUUAUCUUCCAUGAAACUUAUUUCCCUUUUAAGAAUAAACCUACUUCUGCUCACCCUUUUUCUUCAUCUUUUCCUUUUAAUCCUCCUGCUGAUGAUUUCAGUGACACUGACUUUCCUAUACAUGCUUCCCCUGAUUCUCCUGUUCCUCAUUCUACUUCUGCUUCUCCUGUACCUGAUUUUCCUGAUGCUGUGGUCCAUCUUCCCUUCCUGCUGAUCAUUUCACUGACACAGACUUUCCUAUACAUGCUUCCCCUGAUUCUCCUAUUCCUAAUUCUACUUCUGAUUCUCCUGUACCUGAUUUUCCUGAUGCUGGUCCAUCUUCCCUUCCUUCUUUCAAUCAUGAUCUCCCUCCUCUUGUGUUACCUCCUUCACAUCCUCUUCCCACUCCUAGAAAGUCCACUAGAUAGCAUAAUCCUCCUUUCUAUCUUAAGGAUUAUGUCUGUCAACUGCCUGCCUUUUCUGGUUCCUCUUCUUCCACUUUGGAAUCUAAACCUAUGUAUUACUCUCAAGCUGCAUCUGUCCCAGCGUGGCAGGAUGCAAUGAGACAGGAGUUUGAUGCUUUGGAAGCUAACCAUACUUGGGAUAUUGUU
rnacentral:lncRNA from 1 species